rnacentral:rRNA from 1 species
GAUGAACGCUGGCGGCAUGCCUAGCACAUGCAAGUCGAUCGGUAAGGCUCUUCGGAGUACACGAGAGGCGGACGGCUGAGUAACGCGUAGGAACACACCCUGCAGUGAGGGAUAAGACACCGAAAGGUGUUCUAAUACCGCAUACGGUCUUCGGAUUAAAGCAUUUAUGCGCUGAAGGAGUGGCCUGCGUCAUAUUAGAUAGUUGGUGAGGUAAUGGCUCACCAAGUCGAUGAUGUGUAGCUGGUCUGAGAGGAUGAUCAGCCAGACUGGAACUGAGACACGGUCCAGACUCCUACGGGAGGCAGCAGUGAGGAAUAUUUCACAAUGAGCGAAAGCUUGAUGGAGCAAUGCCGCGUACAGGAUGAAGGCCCUCGGGUUGUAAACUGCUUUUAUAAGAGAAGAUUAUGACGGUAACUUAUGAAUAAGGGACGGCUAACUACGUG